rnacentral:tRNA from 1 species
GGGUAUAGCUCAGUGGUAGAGCUCUUGCCUAGUAUGAGUAUUUGCCUAGCAUGUGCAAGGCCCUGGGUUCAAUCCCCAGCAUCACA